GUUGGCACCGACUUGACAUGGGUAUAAAAAAUAGGAAAAAAAAAAGAAAAAAAGAAGAAAAAAAAAUCUAAAACCGUAUCCUUGCACACUCCUCUCAAGCUCCGAUUCUCAUCCAACUUGAACUCAUGCUACUAUAGUAAACAGUAAGGCGUAAUUGAGAAGAAAAUAGGGAAGAGAGGGGAGAAGGAGAGUAGUUAAUCAAACAACUCAUAGCAAGGAUCCGGUUGAUAUCCAGGGGAGUAAUAUUUUGGGGACAAUCGUGUCCAUUAGAGUGGCUUGGUGGACCGACAAGAAGAGGAAGGGAGAACUAUAAAUGGAGAAGUCAAAGCAUGGAUGGAGCUUUUAUGCUUGUAUCUGAUGAAGAGUUUGGUGCAGAAGUACCUACACAAAGUCUCUUGUUGAAGGUUCAAGCACAGUGCCAGUAUCAGAAUACAAGCCAAUUCCUGAUCUUGAUUAUCUCCAGAAAUAUACGACUAAGGAAAUUAAAUGAGUGGGACUCGUAAUAUGGGAUUCAUGCCUCAGCAGCUUAUUGAGAUUCUUAGCUAUGCUAUGGUGAUAACGAAAAAUCAUAUUUUUACUUCAGGAGCAUCAGGGACUAAUGCUGCGGAGCCCUGAGAGCAGAAAAACCAGAGUUACUUACUGUAAUCUUGCCCCAGAUCUGAAAAUGCAACCACCUGAGAGUCAGGAGUUGUUGGCUAACGUUGUGCGACGGAGACAUUCUCUCACAUGUGCAACAAGUGAUAUGCUUUGCGUUCCAUGACAGCAGACUGCUCAUGGAAACUUACCAAAAGCGAAGAAUCUCCGAAAGAUUGUUACUCUCUUUUAUUUGGACUAAAAAUCAUCAUAAUUGAUGCUCCGAUAGCGUUUACUUUAUUUAUAAACAAAUAGGCAUGGCUCCUUUCUGCAAAUAUUAUUUUUGCUUUUCUUUUGUCCUUACUUUGUCUAGGAAAGCUAUGAAUUUGUUUCGGUGGUGAAGGGAGCCUGUAAUCAUUUUUUUUUAUUCUUUUAUAGAAAGA